CCUACGGGGGGCAGCAGUGAGGAAUAUUGGUCAAUGGACGAGAGUCUGAACCAGCCAAGUAGCGUGACGGAUGACUGCCCUAUGGGUUGUAAACUUCUUUUAUAUGGGACUAAAAUGUUCCACGUGUGGGUUUUUGUAUGUACUAUAUGAAUAAGGAUCGGCUAACUCCGUGCCAGCAGCCGCGGUAAUACGGAGGAUCCGAGCGUUAUCCGGAUUUAUUUGGUUUAAAGGGAGCGUAGGUGGAUUGUUAAGUCAGUUGUGAAAGUUUGCGGCUCAACCGUAAAAUUGCAGUUGAAACUGGCAGUGUUGAGUACAGUAGAGGUGGGCGGAAUUCGUGGUGUAGCGGUGAAAUGCUUAGAUAUCACGAAGAACUCCGAUUGCGGAGGCAGCUCACUGGACUGCAACUGACACUGAGGCUCGAAAGUGUGGGUAUCAAACAGGAUUAGAUACCCCUGUAGUC
rnacentral:rRNA from 1 species